UACGUAGGGGGCAAGCGUUGUCCGGAAUCAUUGGGCGUAAAGAGCGCGUAGGCGGCCCUGUAAGUCCGCUGUGAAAGUCAAGGGCUCAACCCUUGAAUGCCGGUGGAUACUGCAGGGCUAGAGUCCGGAAGAGGCGAGUGGAAUUCCGUGGUGUAGCGGUGGAAAUGCGCAGAUAUCAGGAGGAACGACCGCAUGGCGGAAGGCAGACUCGCUGGGACGGUUGACUGACGCUGAGGCGCGAAGACGUGGGGAG
rnacentral:rRNA from 1 species